rnacentral:rRNA from 1 species
GUGGGGAAUCUUGCGCAAUGGGCGAAAGCCUGACGCAGCCAUGCCGCGUGAAUGAUGAAGGUCUUAGGAUUGUAAAAUUCUUUCACCGGGGACGAUAAUGACGGUACCCGGAGAAGAAGCUCCGGCUAACUUCGUGCCAGCAGCCGCGGUAAUACGAAGGGGGCUAGUGUUGCUCGGAAUUACUGUGCGUAAAGGGCGCGUAGGCGGACAGCUUAGUCAGAGGUGAAAGCCCAGGGCUCAACCUUGGAAUUGCCUUUGAUACUGGCUGUCUUGAGUUUGGGAGAGGUGAGUGGAACUCCGAGUGUAGAGGUGAAAUUCGUAGAUAUUCGGAAGAACACCAGUGGCGAAGGCGACUCACUGGCCCAAUACUGACGCUGAGGCGCGAAAGCGUGGGGAGCAAACAGGAUUAGAAACCCCAGUAGUCC